GGUUCGAUUAUGGCUCAGAUUGAACGCUGGCGGGAUGUGCUUUACGCCCAAGUCGAACGGCGGCACGGACUUCGGUCUGGUGGCGAGUGGCAGACGGGUGAGUAAUGUAUCGGAACGUGCACUAGUAGCGGGGGAUAACUACGCGAAAGCGUAGCUAAUACCGCAUACGCCCUUCGGGGAAAGCGGGGGACCUUCGGGCCUCGCACUAUUAGAGCGGCCGAUAUCGAGUUAGCUAGUUGGUGCAGGGUAACGGCUCACCAAGGCGACGAUCCGUAGCUGGUUUGAGAGGACGACCAGCCACACUGGGACUGAGACACGGCCCAGACUCCUACGGGAGGCGGCAGUGAAA
rnacentral:misc_RNA from 1 species